AAACCUAUCAUUGUUGAGCAUUUUUACU
rnacentral:sRNA from 1 species